UGAUGACGUCGCCGUCAGAGAUCGGUGUUCCCUCACCGUUACUGCGUCGCUGUCGAUAAAGCUUCUAUCGCCGCCGUGAAUUGCGAACAGAGGAGAGUGAGAGAGGCCGAAGAUGCGAGAGAGAAGAGGUGAUGAAUGAAGUCGUCCCUGAAGCCUUGGCCGUCGCUACCAGAGGCGUGGAGGAAGGGAGGCAGAACCGUGAGAUAGAGGAUGCACUGUGACUAUCAUUGCUGCUGCGAGUGUGGUCCACCGUGAAGUUGCACGCCGCCAUCGCCAUCGGAAACCACCGUUGGAACUACCACUAUUUUGGUAAACUUACCCUGUUUUUGAGUCUUCCUUGUCGCCCAAUUUGUCUCUACUGUGAAGCCUGUCAUUGAGACUAUUUGUAUUAAACAAAAUUAUCACUGUGAGUUACUCUGCACCGCCGCAGCUGCCACCGAGGUCAUUGGUGCUUGUAAAGAGUGCUAUUCUGGUUCUAAAUUGAUUAGUUCAUGCCACUGUUGCUGCUGAGAAGUGAUCAGAAAUGGCACUGCUGUUAGUUUGGUUCAAGGUUGUUGUUGCCACUGCGAAUUAAAAAUAAAAGAAGGCUGUGUUGUGUUUGAUUAUCGAAUUCCGGCUAGUCGAGGGACGUCCACGAACUGAGGAUCACUGUUUCCCCUUGUGCGUAUAUUAUGGGGUCGGGCUUUGCACCGACUGCUGGUAGUCACGAAGGAGUGGUAUUCUUACCACCGACACAUAUGCACUAAGGACACAAAGGGAAGCCAUAUCUGGGACUUGUUCCUAAGUAUUGUCGGGCUGUAGGGUGUAAACCGACACGUGAGCUCAUGGCCUGCUUAGGACAGACAUGCAUCAUAUUGGUUGUGCAUUUGCUUUUGGUUGUGUUUGCUUGUAUUAUUUCUCUGCGAUUGUGUUGUUUGUUUUAUUGUGAUUUGUUUGUCUGUUGAAUUGAGUUUCUUACUUGUGCUAGUAGUCUGUGAAUAUAUAGAACUGAUUAAUAACUGUUUGUUGUGACUGAGAAUCAAUUGUGAUUGAGAUUCAAUUAUGUGGCUAA